rnacentral:tRNA from 1 species
UCCCUAAUAGCUCAGUUGGUAAAGAAUCUGCCUGCAAUGCAGGAGACCCUGGUUUGAUUCCUCGGUUGGGAA